rnacentral:lncRNA from 1 species
CGGGCAUAUUGCAGUGGAUCAUGUGGAGCUGGACAUCAAGGAGAUGUUGGAGCUGGGAAGAGGCAGCAAUCACUCGCAGGAGCAACAAUAACGUUAUCGAGGAGGAGGUUACCAGAACGGGGAGCAGUGCCUCAAACCACUACCCAAUGUCAGCGGAAAGUUUCUCAGAUGACAGUGAGGAGUGGACCGGUGACGAUGACGAACCUAUCUCUCCUCCCCCUGACACUGCAGAUCCACUGGCUUCCAAUAGGCCACACCAGGACACUCUCAGUGCCAUAUAUAGUAAACAAAGACCUUAG